UACGGAGGGUGCGAGCGUUGUCCGGAAUCACUGGGCAUAAAGGGCGCGUAGGCGGCUCCAAAAGUCAGGGGUGAAAUCCGGCAGCUUAACUGUCGCAGUGCCUUUGAUACUGUGGAGCUAGAGGGAUGUAGGGGGUCUGUGGAACUUCCGGUGGAGCGGUGAAAUGCGUUGAUAUCGGAAGGAACGCCGGUGGCGAAAGCGACGGACUGGACAUUUUCUGACGCUGAGGCGCGAAAGCCAGGGGGAGCAAAACGGG
rnacentral:rRNA from 1 species